rnacentral:rRNA from 1 species
UACGUAGGGUGCAAGCGUUAAUCGGAAUUACUGGGCGUAAAGCGUGCGCAGGCGGCUUUGUAAGCCAGAUGUGAAAUCCCCGGGCUCAACCUGGGAAUGGCAUUUGGGACUGCAAGGCUUGAGUGCGGCAGAGGAGACUGGAAUUCCUGGUGUAGCAGUGAAAUGCGUAGAUAUCAGGAGGAAUACCGAUGGCGAAGGCAGGUCUCUGGGCUGACACUGACGCUCAUGCACGAAAGCGUGGGGAGCAAACAGG